UACGAGUGCCUCAAGCGUUAUCCGGAAUCACUGGGCGUAAAGGGUGCGUAGGCGGCUUUGUAAGUCUUUCGUCAAAACCUUCGGCUUAACCGAAGAGACGCGGGGGAAACGGCAAAGCUAGAGGAUGGGAGAGGUGUAUGGAACUCAUAGUGUAGGGGUGAAAUCCGUUGAUAUUAUGGGGAACACCGAAAGCGAAGGCAGUACACUGGCCCACUCCUGACGCUGUGGCACGAAAGCGUGGGUAGCGAAUGGG
rnacentral:rRNA from 1 species